rnacentral:rRNA from 1 species
UGGGGAAUAUUGCGCAAUGGACGAAAGUCUGACGCAGCGACGCCGCGUGUGGGAGGAGGCCUUUCGGGGUGUAAACCACUGUCAGGGGGGAAGAAUUCCGUCAGGCCUAACAGGUCUGGCUAGUGACGGUACC